UUGACGCUACAAGUACCCACAAUUAGGAAUCGUCGUAUCUUCUCUCAUAUCAUGUUUUUCUAUUUUGUGCAGUGCUAAGCCUCAUGACGUGUUCUGAGGUGAAAAAUUUUCCUGCCAUCGUCAGCGCUUUGGUCAUCUUAUCCGUUUUCGCUUUUCUUGCUUGCCAGGCGACAUGUUUUGUGUAUGUUAAAAUAUUGCGCUGGUUGGAGCCGGUAUGUGUGUCAACCUUUCCAAUGUAGUUGGGUCGUGUCGUCCCCCUCCCUAAUAUCCCGCUUUCCAUUAAGCCCACUCCCCAAUGAACCCCCUCUCCAAUAAGUCCUCCUCUCUAUUAGGCCCCUCUCCAAUGAAUCCCCUGUCCAAUAAGUCCCCUGUCCAAUUGGUAAGUCACCUUUCUAUUAAGCCCCCUCUCAAAUGAAUCCCCCUCCCAAUAAGUCCCCUGUCCAAUAGGUAAGUCACCAGCUCUCUAUUAAGCCCCCACCCAAUACCACACCCUCCUUCAAACGUGUCUGAAAUAAAUAGAUUCAUAAACGAUUUUAUCGAUUUUUUUAGGUCCAUUAUGAUGAUGAGAACAUUCAUGAAACAUCUCAGCAUGUCUUGCUGAAUGAACAGUCAAUAUAAUAAUAUUUCCUUUACACGAGAGUUGUCUACACACCCUAAAAAUCUCACAUGUACAAAUUGUCAACAAGAUGUGUUCGCAACAGGCUUGUAGCAAGCUUUUCAGCAAGUUGUAACAAUGCUGUAUUUUAUCAAGUUACUACAAGGUUGCGAACAUGCAACUCUCUUCAACUUACAUUCUCGUUUGACCGGCGCCGGAGGUAUACGGAACUUUCUCCUUAACAAUCAGUCAGUUUUAAUAAUUUAAAUUACAAUUGACCAUGUAAAGAUAAAAAUAUUGUGCAGCUAUAUGUUAUUUACUGAAAACAGCAAACAGCCAGACAGAUGUUUGAAAAUGUUUAUGUAUACUUAGAUAUUAAGACUGCAUAUGCAUGUAUGGCUGAUUUUCCCUUGGCCUUGCAUGUCGAAAAUUCCAUAUAAUAUAAAAAUAUUGGCUUUCAUGCAAUCUUAAUAAAUGUCUUAAU